rnacentral:rRNA from 1 species
CCUACGGGAGGCAGCAGUGGGGAAUAUUGCACAAUGGGGGAAACCCUGAUGCAGCGACGCCGCGUGAAGGAAGAAGUAUCUCGGUAUGUAAACUUCUAUCAGCAGGGAAGAAAAUGACGGUACCUGACUAAGAAGCCCCGGCUAACUACGUGCCAGCAGCCGCGGUAAUACGUAGGGGGCAAGCGUUAUCCGGAUUUACUGGGUGUAAAGGGAGCGUAGACGGAGCAGCAAGUCUGAUGUGAAAGGCAGGGGCUCAACCCCUGGACUGCAUUGGAAACUGUUGAUCUUGAGUACCGGAGGGGUAAGCGGAAUUCCUAGUGUAGCGGUGAAAUGCGUAGAUAUUAGGAGGAACACCAGUGGCGAAGGCGGCUUACUGGACGGUAACUGACGUUGAGGCUCGAAAGCGUGGGGAGCAAACAGGAUUAGAUACCCCUGUAGUC